ACGGAGGAGCACGAAGGUUGGCUAAGUACGGUCGGACAUCGUACGGUUAGUGUAAUGGUAGAAGCCAGCUUAACUGCGAGACAGACACGUCGAGCAGGUACGAAAGUAGGUCAUAGUGAUCCGGUGGUUCUGAAUGGAAGGGCCAUCGCUCAACGGAUAAAAGGUACUCCGGGGAUAACAGGCUGAUACCGCCCAAGAGUUCAUAUCGACGGCGGUGUUUGGCACCUCGAUGUCGGCUCAUCACAUCCUGGGGCUGAAGUCGGUCCCAAGGGUAUGGCUGUUCGCCAUUUAAAGUGGUACGCGAGCUGGGUUUAGAACGUCGUGAGACAGUUCGGUCCCUAUCUGCCGUGGGCGUUUGAGAAUUGAGAGGGGUUGCUCCUAGUACGAGAGGACCGGAGUGAACGAACCGCUGGUGUUCGGGUUGUCAUGCCAAUGGCAUUGCCCGGUAGCUACGUUCGGAACUGAUAAGCGCUGAAAGCAUCUAAGCGCGAAGCAGGCCUCGAGAUGAGUUCUCACUAGACUUUUAAAGUCUCUGAAGGGCCGUUGAAGACUACAACGUUGAUAGGCAAGAUGUGGAAGUGGUGUGAGCCAUUAAGCUAACUUGUACUAAUUACCCGUGAGGCUUAACCAUA
rnacentral:rRNA from 1 species